CCUACGGGUGGCAGCAGUGAGGAAUAUUGGUCAAUGGGCGAGAGCCUGAACCAGCCAAGUCGCGUGAAGGAUGAAGGAUCUAUGGGUUGUAAACUUCUUUUAUAUGGGAAUAAAGUGAGGCACGUGUGCCUUUUUGUAUGUACCAUAUGAAUAAGCAUCGGCUAACUCCGUGCCAGCAGCCGCGGUAAUACGGAGGAUGCGAGCGUUAUUCGGAUUUAUUGGGUUUAAAGGGUGCGUAGGGGGUUAGUUAAGUCCGCGGUGAAGGUUUGGGGCUCAACCCUAAAAUUGCCGUUGAUACUGGUUGCCUUGAGUAUAUUUGAGGUAGGCGGAAUUCGUGGUGUAGCGGUGAAAUGCUUAGAUAUCACGCAGAACUCCGAUUUCGAAGGCAGCUUACUAAACUAUCACUGACACUGAUGCUCGAAAGCGUGGGUAUCAAACAGGAUUAGAUACCCGUGUAGUC
rnacentral:rRNA from 1 species